AUUGACCGCUGGCGGCAGGCCUAACACAUGCAAGUCGAACGAGUGGCGGACUGGUGAGUACUGUCUGGGAAACUGCCUGAUGUAGGGGGAUAACUACUGUCAACGGUAGCUAAUACCGCAUACCAUCAGAUUUUCCCAGAUGGGAUUAGCUUGUUGUUGGGGUAACGGCUCACAAAGGCGCCGAUCCCUAGCUGGUCUGAGAGGAUGACCAGACACACUGGAACGGAGACACGGUCCAGACUCCGACGAGAGGCAGCAGUGGGGAAUAUUGCACAAUGGGCGCAAGCCUGAUGCAGCCAUGCCGCGUGUAUGAAGAAGGCCUUCGGGUUGUAAAGUACUUUCAGCGGGGAGGCGUUACCCGCAGAAGAAGCACCGGCUAAAUCCGUGCCAGCAGCCGCGGUAAUUC
rnacentral:rRNA from 1 species